rnacentral:tRNA from 115 species
GUCCCCAUCGUCUAGAGGCCUAGGACACCGCCCUUUCACGGCGAUAACCGGGGUUCGAAUCCCCGUGGGGACGCCA